GACGAACGCUGGCGGCGUGCUUAACACAUGCAAGUCGAACGGAAAGGCCCUGCUUGUGUGGUGGGCUCGAGUGGCGAACGGGUGUGUAACGCGUGAAUAACCUGCCCUUGACUUUGGGAUAACUGCGGGAAACUGGGGCUAAUACGGGAUAGGAGCUCCUGCUGCGGGGUGGGGGGGGGAAAGUUUCGGCGGUUGGGGAUGGACUCGCGGCUUAUCAGCUUGUUGGUGGGGUAGUGGCUUACCAAGGCUUUGACGGGUAGCCGGCCUGAGAGGGUGACCGGCCACACUGGGACUGAGAUACGGCCCAGACUCCUACGGGAGGCAGCAGUGGGGAAUAUUGCACAAUGGGCGGAAGCCUGAUGCAGCAACGCCGCGUGCGGGAUGACGGCCUUCGGGUUGUAAACCGCUUUCGCCUGUGACGAAGCGUGAGUGACGGUAAUGGGUAAAGAAGCACCGGCUAACUACGUG
rnacentral:rRNA from 1 species